UUGUCUUUUUUAAAACAUGCAUAAAAUGGACGUGUAUUUUCUCUAUUAUACCUUAUUGAUUAAGUUCAUAUUCUAUCAUUAUAUUCUACAUUUAUGGAUAAUUAUCAGUGCGUCAGUGUGCGUUUUGGAGACUUUAUAUCGCGGUCGCUGAGCUCCUGUUCCUCGCUGCUGUUCAGCUCCGGCUGCGGCAGUCAGAGGCGGCAGGGAAAAUCAGCACACACCGCUGAGAGGCCUGCUGUUACUGAGCACGAACGGAGCACAGAGAAAGAGUGUGUAUGCCGCGAUGUGAGCGUGCAGACCCCGACAGAAUGAAAAUGGGGGACAAUUAAAAGAAUUUUAGGACAUGCUUCCUGUGCCGUAUGCUCCUGUGCAGAGCCCAGAGACAGGGUGACAGGGCAGAUUAAUGUCACGCAGGGGCUCAGUCCCCCCCUCUCCCCCAUGCAGAGGUCAGUUCUCUCGAUCCGCUCUCACUGUGCCUCCAACCGCCUGGAACUAAACCACUGCGGAGAUUCAAAUGCGGUUUAGGGGUGGGGGGUGGCGUUACUUCGGAAGAAGAAUAAGCUUGUCUGCAUAUGAAGAAAGAUGUGUCUGAGUCCCACCGGGCCACACUGGGACCAUUAUCCAACAGGAGUGAAACCUGUGGGGGUACAUCGCAAGAGCCGUGG